AAAUUGAAGAGUUUGAUCAUGGCUCAGAUUGAACGCUGGCGGCAGGCCUAACACAUGCAAGUCGAACGGUAACAGGAAGCAGCUUGCUGCUUCGCUGACGAGUGGCGGACGGGUGAGUAAUGUCUGGGAAACUGCCUGAUGGAGGGGGAUAACUACUGGAAACGGUAGCUAAUACCGCAUAAUGUCGCAAGACCAAAGAGGGGGACCUUCGGGCCUCUUGCCAU
rnacentral:rRNA from 1 species